rnacentral:sRNA from 1 species
GUUCCGUUCCGCAAAAUACCAUUACCCGUGUGGUUAUUGGUAUUUAACGGAACGGAACGGAAUCUUUCAACCUUUUUAAAUAAUGGAAAAUAUCAUAACAACUACUCACCGUUCCUUGAAUUUUUUAUCAGAUUCUUUAAAGAUGAAUGAGUCUAUCAAUCAAAUCAAUUCAUGCAGUCAUCUUGUGUAUUUGCUGAUUAUUAAUUUCAGCGUUUGUGUGCGUGUGCUGCAUACAACAACAACUCUGUUUUCAUUUUUUUUUAUCAAUUUUAUAUCAUUGUCACGGCAGAACUAACUAGUUGGUUAAUUAAGCUAGCAAAAACACAAUGCUUAUAUCAAAUAGAAUUCAUAUUAUACCAAGAUCAUUCGCAGUGCAGGGAUAAUAUCGAUAAAAAUAUUUGAUAGUCUUAUUUGAAAUAAAUUUGAAUGAAUGAUGAU